rnacentral:rRNA from 1 species
UACGUAGGGGGCGAGCGUUGUCCGGAUUUAUUGGGCGUAAAGAGCGUGUAGGCGGUUCGGUAAGUCUGUCGUGAAAUCCUGAGGCUCAACCUCGGGCGUGCGAUGGAUACUGCCGGGCUAGAGGGUGGUAGAGGCGAGUGGAAUUCCCGGUGUAACGGUGAAAUGCGCAGAUAUCGGGAGGAACACCAGUAGCGAAGGCGGCUCGCUGGGCCACACCUGGACGCUGAGACGCGAAAGCUAGGGGAGCGAACAGG